rnacentral:tRNA from 1 species
UAAUAUUAAAGCAAGGCACUGAAAAUGCCUAGAUGAGUCCCUUGACUCCAUAAACA